rnacentral:rRNA from 1 species
CUUAGCGGCGCACGGGUGAGUAACACGUAUGCAACCUGCCCUCUUCAGGGGGACAACCUUCCGAAAGGGAGGCUAAUCCCGCGUAUAUCGGUUUCGGGCAUCCGAGAUCGAGGAAAGAUUCAUCGGAAGAGGAUGGGCAUGCGGCGCAUUAGCUAGACGGCGGGGUAACGGCCCACCAAGGCGACGAUGCGUAGGGGUUCUGAGAGGAAGGUCCCCCACACUGGUACUGAGACACGGACCAGACUCCUACGGAAGGCAGCAG